rnacentral:rRNA from 1 species
UACGGAGGGUGCAAGCGUUAUCCGGAUUCACUGGGUUUAAAGGGUGCGUAGGUGGGCAGUUAAGUCAGUGGUGAAAUCUCCGGGCUUAACCCGGAAACUGCCAUUGAUACUAUCUGUCUUGAAUACCGUGGAGGUGAGCGGAAUAUGUCAUGUAGCGGUGAAAUGCGCAGAUAUCAGGAAGAACACCUAUGGCGAAGGCAGCUCUCUGGGGACGGUACUGACG